UACGUAGGGUGCAAGCGUUGUCCGGAAUCAUUGGGCGUAAAGGGCUCGUAGGCGGUCCAUCGCGUCGGGAGUGAAAAGCUGGGGCUCAACCCCAGUCUUGCUUCCGAUACGGGUGGACUAGAGGUAGGCAGGGGAGAAUGGAAUUCCUGGUGUAGCGGUGAAAUGCGCAGAUAUCAGGAGGAACACCGGUGGCGAAGGCGGUUCUCUGGGCCUUACCUGACGCUGAGGCGCGAAAGCGUGGGGAGCGAACGGG
rnacentral:rRNA from 1 species